rnacentral:rRNA from 1 species
GUGGAUUGGAGGGGUUUCAAGAGGAUUUUCCUCGCGUGGGCCAGAAACCCCAAAAGAAACCGUCGGCCCCUUUCGUACAGGGGGUUUGGAUGGGCGGAUCCUCUCUAAUCCCCUUCGAUCCUCCCGAACCCACGCGACUCAGAACCCUUGUCGAAGGGCUCAGGGAAUCUCUCGACCGAGCGCACGCCGCCAGCCACGGAGGGGAGGAGCCCCGCCGCCGGAUCUUCAACGCCGCCGCCACCAAGGGGAAGAGCCCCGCCGCCGCCACCGAGGGGAGGAGCCCCGCCGGCGAGAGGAGGAGCCCGCCGCCGCCGCCCGAUUCUACCUGACGCCCCGACGCCGCCCGACGCCGGCGUUACUCCUCCAGAAUACUGGCGUUCUCCCUGGUGGUCCCACUGAACCAGGUUGAGAAGUGGAACAAGCAGAGGAAGAAUGUGACAUUGGCAGGGUCCCUCGAAAUCGUCUGUUUGAGAGUCUCGGUUGCUUUUGUGUCUGCGCUACUGCUGUCUUAUGGUUGGAAUUUAUGCUCCUGUCAUGUACUCUCUUCCAACAAUAGUUAAGCAUGCAGAACAUCAAGUGAUGCUUUUUUCUAUAUUGCAUAAAUAGUUAAGCAUGCUUAUGUAUUCUCAGCAUGCUUUUUUCUAUGUUGCAUAAAUAGUUAAGCAUGCUUAUGUAUUCUCAGCAUGCUUAAAUAUACGCAUGUCUUGCCUAGGACUUUUCUCUAUGUUCCAAGUCAUGCUGAUGUAAGAGAAUAUGUCGCUGUUAUGUGACAGCGCAAUUAUGUGAUGAUAUAUUGAUUCCAAGUCAAGCAAAUUAUGUUGUUCAUGUGAAGAACUGUUGCAAGAUUAGAUUUUUAACUGUUUUACAACAUUUUAAUUCAAUAUGGCAAUCCCUUUCUGUCAAACAGUGUUUUGUACGGAGGGGGAUUUGAGGGAUGUGUGGCUGGAGGGGGAUUUGAGGUUUCAAGGGGAUUGGGUGAAAGAGGGGGAUUCACCAAAUCCCCUGGAAUCCUCUCCUCCCAAAACCUCCACAAUCCCUUGCUGUCAAACAAGGCCUAAGGAAAACUGGAGGAUACACCCGGAUUGGGUUCAGAGGUUUAAAUGGGCUAGGCUUUUACCUUUUGCGCGUCUGGUUGGGGCCACUGAUACCUCUACAUGCCUUGGCAUUGACGCCUCUUUGCUCACCUGCUUAGUGGACUGAUGGAGGCCCGAGAUCCACACGUUUCACUUCCGUUGGGGAGAGAUGGCUCAUAAUUUGUAGGAUGUGUCACUUUUGUUGGGACCACUAUUCAAAAUAUCGGUCGAUUAUCGCUUAUCGGGGUCUGAUUGAUAAGAUAAGUGAAUAUCACUGGUAUUUAUCGGUCUAACCAAUAUAUCGAUCAUACAAUCGAUAUAUCACCGAUAUUCUCCGACAUUUGCCAAUAUUGACAAGUAAAUCUAUGGGACCCAACUGAUUUAGCUCCCGAUUUUUUUAUUUUGGUUGAGUUUUUGUGGUCUUGAUGCCUCCUAUUUGUGUAGAUGGCUACUUUCAAUACAUCCCAGGUCGUUUAAGAGGAAUACGGAUGACAUGGCUUACAAGUUUGCCAUGUUGAUUGAUCCAGAUGAUACAGAAAGCUGAGAUUUUUAAAAAACCUUGCCAAUAAAUAGUCUACCGAUAAAAUUGAUAAAUUGGCCGAUAAGUCGAUUUAUCUCUUAUCUUGGGUUGAUCGAUAAGUUGAAGCGGUAUCCUGAACAUUGGGUUGGACUACCGUUGGCGGUUCCUGCCAUUGGACCAUUCGAGGCACCAGCUCCUUGGGAGCAGGAAAUUGCACAACAUUUCCAGGGUGUUUAUGAGGGUGCUCCGACCUUUGCCUCGGAGCCUCACGGACCGCUUGAUUGGUUGCUUCAUUUUCGGAUACAGAAGUUUCCGGCUAUCCACAAUUCCCCUUGAAUGCGACAUAGAUCACUCGGAGCCUGGAGGCAUACCUACCGUGGCUUCUCGGGAAGGUGAUGUUUACAGAGAACCAUGUCACUAGUAUUAGUGCAUGCUACAUCCCUAUUGCACCGGAGAUCGCGAGAGCUGAGUUGCUGGACCAGAUCACACAGAGGAGUUGGGGUUUUGUGGUUUUAGUGGUUACAUACCGAGGUAUGUGCAACGGUUGCCAACUUGUGUUGCAGAAGGCAGCUCUUCUUGGAUGCCCUCUAUUUUUACAGUUGUGGUCGUGGGGAGAGGUUCUCUAUAGGACAACCCAACAUACAUGUUGAAGAGGGUUGGCCUGUGGGGGAGCUUUUCGAUGCUGACCACAAUGACAUGCCUACUUUCGGUAUGUGCUGGACAUGUUGCAAGGUAUGUCUGAUCUUAUAAUUUUUUGCAUUUCCCCAUGUACACUAUGGUUGAAACUAACUUUUGUUUUGCGAAGAGAUGCUUUGCUAGUGAUCAGACUAGGUGAGCCUACAUGGCACUAAACAAGCAGUUCGAUUUAUACACUAGGGUGAUCUGGCAGCCGUACACGCAAGCAGCCAUAGAUGCAAGAUACCCCAACGGUAUUUCUGAGCUAUGCACAAGGGAUCAGGAUUACUGGAUGGCAAAAUCGAAGAUCAUCUUCGAUGUCUUCGUCGAGGGCAUGGCCCAACAGAGGGUUAUGAGGCAAUUUGGUCUUCGACAGUUGGUCUAGCCUUCGCCUACAGAGGCUCCGCUGCCACCAGUAGUCCACAUGUAUUGUCUACUUAUUCUAUGUUGGAUUUUCUUUCACAAUUGACCAUAGUGAAGCAUUACUUAAUUGUUGAAC